rnacentral:rRNA from 1 species
AUUGAACGCUAGCGGCAUGCCUUACACAUGCAAGUCGAACGGAGUGGCGAACGGGUGAGUAAUGUAUCGGAACGUGCCCAGUAGCGGGGGAUAACUACGCGAAAGCGUAGCUAACACCGCAUACUCUUGGCGCGGUCGAUACCGGAUUAGCUAGUUGGUGGGGUAACGGCUCACCAAGCCGACGACCCGUAGCUGGUUGGAGAGGACGACUAGCCACACUGGGACUGAGACACGGCCCAGACUCCUACGGGAGGCAGCAGUGGGGAAGAUUGGACAAGGGGGGAAACCCUGAUGCAGCCAUCCCGCGUGUGUGAUGAAGGCCUUCGGGUUGUAAAGCACUUUUAGCAGGGAGGCGGUACCUGCAGAAGAAGCACCGGCUAACUACGUGCCAGCAGCCGCGGUAAUUC